rnacentral:rRNA from 1 species
UACGGGGGGGGCAAGCGUUGUUCGGAAUUACUGGGCGUAAAGGGCGCGUAGGCGGCCUGCUAAGUCGGAUGUGAAAUCCCUCGGCUCAACCGAGGAACUGCAUCCGAUACUGGAUGGCUUGAAUCCGGGAGAGGGAUGCAGAAUUCCAGGUGUAGCGGUGAAAUGCGUAGAUAUCUGGAGGAAUACCGGUGGCGAAGGCAGGUCUCUGGGCCACUACUGACGCUGAGAAGCGAAAGCAUGGGGAGCGAACAGG